GUGUCCGUAGCUCAGUUGGUUAGAGCACCACCUUGACAUGGUGGGGGUCGGUGGUUCGAAUCCACUCGGACGCACCA
rnacentral:tRNA from 1 species